rnacentral:misc_RNA from 1 species
GAUGAAGAACGUAGCGAAAUGCGAUACUUGGUGUGAAUUGCAGAAUCCCGUGAACCAUCGAGUCUUUGAACGCAAGUUGCGCCCGAAGCCACUAGGCCGAGGGCACGCCUGCCUGGGCGUCACACGCCGUUGCCCCCCCAUCUACUCCUUCGGGAUUGCGGGGGGCGGAUGAUGGCCUCCCGUGCGCCUAGCCGCGCGGUUGGCAUAAAUACCAAGUCCUCGGCGACGCACGCCACGACAAUCGGUGGUUGCGAAACCUCGGUUGCCCGUCGUGUGCGUUCGUCGCGCAUCGAGGGCUCGAAAAGAUGCUCGGCUCCGGCUGGGCUUUCAACGCGACCCCAGGUCAGGCGGGGUUACCCGCUGAAUUUAAGCAUAUCAAUAAGCGGAGGA